UUCGAUUGAGAUUUGGACGAUAUUUUACUGCAAGGCUGUUCGUAAAGAUAUCUUUACGAAGAUUACUUUUCGUAAAAACGGUUAUGCUGAUUUUUACAGACUUUCAGACAUUGAUUCCGUCGUGACCGAUUUUGACCCCAACACUUGUGGGAACCAAAAUUCACACCAUCGGUUUUCGUAAUCGGAGGAAAGUCAAGAAACCCUAACUUUUCCUGAGGUUCCGGAUUCUUUGCGAGAGCCAGCGACAAGUGACAAAUAAAAGCGGAAAAUAUGAAAAGACAUCUGAACGAAUUUAUAGAAAAAGUAGAUCUUAUUUCAAAUCUGCGUAAGAGCGUUACAAUCAUUACAAAAGAUUAUAAAAGCUUUGGCCGCAAGAGCUGUCAGCGAGUAACCAAGUUUUAACCACCUAAAACCUAGUUGAGUCGUAGCUCGAUAACAAAAGACGAAAAAUAUAUGAAAAAGGGUUUUGAUUGAUUUUGGACUGAACCUUAUGAAAGGCUGCCUACGUAUCCCUUUUGAGGAUCAAGAGAUUGAACCAAGAGAUUGAAAUACUUGUGCGAGUUUGUCUAGUAAUCGAGUGCUAGUCAUAGAAACAGAACAUGUCGAGAAUAAUGUCUAAAGUUUCUAAGUGCAGAGAGUUCUAAGAGUCCAAAAGAAUCCUUUUUUGCGCCUCUCGCCUUCGCGUCCCUUAUAUACUCCUCCUAGGUCAGUUUGGGCUUUCCUUUUCUGCCUUUGGGUCGAAUUUAUCUUCCCGCGGAAAUAUUCCAUUUUCCCGAUCUUCAUGAUUAUCUCUUGAAACUUGACAUUUAUCUCCGAACUUGACAUUUAUCUUCAAACUUGACGAAUAUUCGAUAAACUGUCGUAGUGACUUUGUGCUGAUUCUCAUAAAGAACCAUAAGUGGACUUUUACCACGUUUUAGACCGCUUGGGCCAUUUUUCGGCUAAAACGUUUUUACGAUUUCUUUCGGAGGCUUUGCCUUUUGUGCGACGUCGGUUUUAUGAAAUAACGGAAAUCAAUCGUACAGCUGAGAUAACCAUUGUGUUAAGUUAACUGUUAUCGUUUCAUACGAUCGAUCCAAACUUAUACGAGCAAAUAAGUCUUCGUCGUUUUUAUCGUAAAGUUUCAACCGUAACCCCAAUCGAGUCGAAACUAGAGACAGUUUGACCAAGACCCGAAAGAGGGAGUUCCGGAGACGAGAAUGCAUGGUGCGGGACUGAUCCAACUCGCGUGAUGGCGAAUUGGAGCAGACUGAUCCAACUCGCCAUUGGGCGAGUUGGAUUGGUCGAUUCAGCUCGGCCUAGGGCGAGUUGGACUCGACUUAUCUAACUUGCCCGACGAUACUGGGUUGGUUGUUUCGAUGCUCGAAAAUAGUCCGUUCAAGGGGUUGGAUAAUCCCUUCCGUGGAGCUUGUCGUGCAAUAGUCUUUAAAAAUACGAAGUUUUAGUUUUCUGUAUUCUUAUUUUCUUUUUAGAAAGGUUUCUCGGGAACUUUCUGACAUUGAUUUUGUCGUUACCGAUUUUGACCCCAACACUGCUUCAUAUUGCGGUUAGCUCAGGUAAUGACUUCCUACACUCGCAGCCCUUUCAAGAAUAUCUUCCAUAUCAGCCUUUGACACAACAUAAUCCUCCCAUUAUUAACUCGAGCGCGUCCCUCCUGAUCUUUGUAGACACCAUGCUCAUCGGGUGCUAGUACAGUCCGUGGCUUUCUCAGGGGCCUUUGGGGUGAGCGUCCUCAAGUCUAAACGCCUCCAUCUACUAUUAGAUCUGAGUGGCAUCGAGCGAAGCUUGAGAGAAAUAGCUCGAUGCUGGCUCUUCUUCUUCACUCUCUCGACAGAUUCAGUGUCAAUGUCAGCCACAAAUCAUGCUUCAUCUCCAAACCCAAUGUUGGACAUGUCCUCUCUCCCCUGACCAUAGCUCAAACAGGAUCGUAGAAGACCUCUUUAUCAACAAAUGUCAAACACAGCUUGUUUGUCUGCAUAUUGCAGACUGCACCCAUUGUAACCAUGAAUGCUCUUCCAAGCAGGAGAGAAAUCUUCCAAUCUUUGUGGAUAUUCAUAACAUGAAAAUCUACAGAGAAAAUGGCAUCACCAAUCUCAACCUGCAAGUCUUUGAUAAUUCUUCUGAGCUUAUUAUGGAGCAGUAAACAAAAGUGAAGGUAUCCAAAGAUGGGUCGAUCUUUAACCCCAUAAACUCAGUCAUUCCCCUGGUCAUAAUGAACACUUAAGAACCAGUAACACAUAUAGAAUUCAGAUAGUGAUGCCCUGCGACAGUACAUGGGACCACAAACUUUCCUUGAUCACUCCUCUUCUUCUUCAACUUCAUGACUUUUUUUUUUCAUUUUGCCUCUUUAAUUAACUUAAUGAACAAAUCGAUCUGAAUGUUACUGUUAGCUUAAAAGAAGUAUCAAUCGACACUCUUCCUUAAUUCGCGUACGAGAGUUGAAAUUAUAGGAUUUAAACAUCUGAUUAGACUCACAGCGAGAGCUGGAUAUCUUACUAAUUGAAUUUGAGUUCUAGGAUGGUACUUAUCCCACCCUUAGCAUUUAUAAUUUAUAAAUCUAAUUGCCUACAUGAAAUCCUAAGUCUAGCAUUUUCCCCAUCUUAUUUACAACCAGUAUUUAAGGUUUCAUUUACUGCUUUUUGUAGCUUAAUCAUGAAGUCUAUAGUUUAUUGUGUACCCACGCUCCGUGGAUUGAUCCCAAAGUGCUGCAAUCAAUCUCUUAUUUGAUAGAGUUGCUUUAGGGUAAUUUGUGCUACAUCAAAAUUGGCGCGGUUACCGGAAAGCAUUGGAUUUGCCAUUAGACUUAGUGGAUAGAUUUAGUCUAGGUUUUUUCCUUUUAUUUAUUUUUACUUAUACAAUUUUCUUGUGUGUUUUAG